AUGACAUACAGUUAUUUUAUUUUCAUUUUAUUCUAAUUAAAGAAUUACAACAAGGUUAUGAAAUAAAAAACCUAAAUAAAAAGUGUAAAAUAUUUAGAUGCGCUAUGUGCUUUAAUGUACAAGAAAAACGGUGGACACAGUUAAAUGCGAUACCAACAGCUACUGUUUUUAAUAGGCAUUAAAGUUUGGUAGAGCUAAAGAAAAAUAUAAGCUGUUUAGUAGUGCAGACUGCUAUAAUCUACAAGAAAAAUGUUGGACACAGUGUAAUCCUAUGCCAAAAGCUACUGUUUCAAUGGGCGUUACAAGUAGCGAAAAUUAUAUAUAUUUACUUGGCGGUAUAUCUUCUCGUAAACGUGCUUACAGAAUGAACUUGAAUCAUUUAAGUUGAUGGGAUACGCUACCUGAUAUGAUCAACGCAAAACUGUAUGCAAUUGGGCAGAUCCUGUGCAAAGUAUGAGUGCUGGAUUUCAUCAAGAAGCAUCUGCCGUUUUAACGUCUCGGAUGGUAGUGAACCGUCCAGAAACCGGGAUGGGAACCAAUAUAUAUACUCGUAUAUAUUCAGUGGCAUUUAAACACAAUUUAGUUGCCUGUGAUUGGUCCAUUAAUAUUUAAUAAACCAUUAAAAUGAUUGACUUUUUAUGCAACUUGGCAUCCUACUUUAAAAAUUUAAAUAAUAUAAAUAAUAGCUCUAUAAUUAUCAUUAAAAGGAUUCUCAAGAACACACUUGAGUAGGUAACCGUGUGGUGUAUAGCGUUUACCAAUUCACAGUUCCUUUUUUAUACAUAACACAAUAAUGAGGCAAUUGUUAUUGAAUUAAGAUUCAACUUUAAACAUCUCUGUUGCUAUAAUAGGUAAAAAUUUAAUAUUUU